rnacentral:tRNA from 1 species
AGGGGCAUAGCCAAGAGGCAAGGCAAGGGGUUUUGGCCCCAUGAUUGCUGGUUCGAAUCCAGCCGCCUCUGCCA